UACGAACCGUACGAACGUUAUUCGGAAUCACUGGGCUUAAAGGGUGCGUAGGCGGCGCGACAAGUUGGGUGUGAAAUCCCUCGGCUCAACCGAGGAACUGCGCCCAAAACUGUCGUGCUCGAGGGAGACAGAGGUGAGCGGAACUUAGGGUGGAGCGGUGAAAUGCGUUGAUAUCUGGAGGAACACCGGUGGCGAAGGCGGCAUCCUGGACCAUUACUGACGCUGAGGAGCGAAAGCCAGGGGAGCAAACGGG
rnacentral:rRNA from 1 species